AGAGAAUCGCUUGAACCCGGGAGGCGGAGGUUGCAAUGAGCCGAGAUCGCACCACUGCACUCCAGCCUCGGUGACAGAG
rnacentral:snRNA from 1 species